rnacentral:lncRNA from 12 species
GAACUACACAGGACCCGAGGAGAGAAAUCCCUGGCGUCAUUGCCCGGGUUGUUAUUCGAAAGUUCUAGGAUGAAACACAGAAAUCUGGACUUUGAAAACCUCCUCUGGCGAUCCAGACAGCAAUGGCACUGUUUGGGAAGCACCACGUAAGCCUCUACCUUUUAUUUCAUAUACAAGGAAAAUGCAUUCUAACUACAAAGCUGAGUCAUUGCCCCCACCCCGGAUCUCAUGCUCCCUGAGUCUCCCCACCUCUUUGUCUUACAAGACACGGCCCAUGCAGCCUGAGCGAUGCCCAUCGAGCUGGUGCGGGGAAGUCUGACCGGUGGGUGCCCACGCGGAGCACUCGUGAGGACCGCACAGCCCGGGCUCCAGUAUUAUUCUGCUGCUAUAUGAGUUAGGAGUGUCUCACUCCUUCCCGGCAUUCCCCUCAUGUUCCAAAUAAAAAGUGUGAAGGAAAUGGCAUCUCACGUCGGUAGCACCUAAGUCCAUUCUGCUCUGAUGAAGUGACAAGCUGUGCCAGGCCGUGAUUGUCUUUGCUCAGGACCCCCGCUUCACUGGCCUACCCACUGCUGGCGAAUCUGCCCACAGGACCCGCCAGAGAGGGAGAGAGCGGCAUGCCCUGGGGACGUAUGCCUGGCAUCGCAAGGGGACGGUCCCUCAGAUGUGUGACCACGCUCCAGGCGCGAUCCCGCCAGGGUGAGUCAUGCAUACCAUGUGCUCAAAUGUGCCGGCCUGAGUGAUCACAGGAGAUCAAAAGUCAGACUCAGAGCAGGAAGUGCUUCUAAAAUUAUAGCCCCCUCCCUGAACUUGACCUUCCUGCUAUCUGUUCUUUGUGAUGGGGCAUAAUUGAGCCAGCUCUGGUUACAGGGACAGAGGCCUGGGACUGCCAAAUGGUCAGACAGAAGGUGACCUUGCCGCAGCAUCGGCCUCAGAACAGGGCCUCUUUGUGCAGGCGAGGUAGGGGCCAGGAUCCGUUCCCAGGUUUGUGGCUGCAGAUCACGCUCGGCUUCAGUGCCCAGCACGCACACGUUUCUCAGGAUGGAUUUUCUGUUCAAAGGCCCCAGGAGCACAUUAAGGACUCAUGCACACAGCUCACUUCCCUGUCUACACCCCGGACAUAUGCAUCCUUCUCCUCAGGCAGGGGGACUUCCACUCCUCCUUCACUUCCUGGUUGAAUCUUAUCUCUGACCAUCCAAGGAAGAGGUGCUCGUAGCAGGGGCCACACAGUGCUCUUGUCUAGAUGUCAUGACUUCUUGUAUUUUCAUGUGGAUCCCCAACUCCAAAUACAGCCCUAGACCCCUACCAUAUGCAAGAAAUAAUUAUAUAUGGAAUUUGAUUUCUUAUGCCAAGCUGUGUUCUCAUCUAUGUAUUCAGUAAACAUUUAUUGAAUGUCUUCUAUGGGCCUGGCU